UUUGCGCAAUGGGGGAAACCCUGACGCAGCAACGCCGCGUGGAGGAUGAAGCCCCUUGGGGCGUAAACUCCUUUCGACCAAAACGAUAAUGACGGUACUGGUGGAAGAAGCACCGGCUAACUCUGUGCCAGCAGCCGCGGUAAUACAGAGGGUGCGAGCGUUGUUCGGAAUUAUUGGGCGUAAAGGACGCGUAGGCGGUGCCACAAGUCACUUGUGAAAUCCCCAGGCUUAACCUGGGGCCUGCAGGCGAAACUGUGGUGCUGGAGUAUGGGAGAGGUGCGUGGAAUUCCCGGUGUAGCGGUGAAAUGCGUAGAUAUCGG
rnacentral:rRNA from 1 species